AUUGAACGCUGGCGGCAGGCCUAACACAUGCAAGUCGAGCGAGCGGCGGACGGGUGAGUAAUGUAUGGGGAACUGCCCGAUAGAGGGGGAUAACUACUGGAAACGGUCGCUAAUACCGCAUACCAUCAGAUGAACCCAUAUGGGAUUAGCUAGUAGGUGGGGUAAAGGCUCACCUAGGCGACGAUCUCUAGCUGGUCUGAGAGGAUGAUCAGCCACACUGGAACUGAGACACGGCCCAGACUCCUACGGUAGGCAGCAGUGGGGAAUAUUGCACAAUGGGCGCAAGCCUGAUGCAGCCAUGCCGCGUGUAUGAAGAAGGCCUUCGGGUUGUAAAGUACUUUCAGCGGGGAGGCGUUACCCGCAGAAGAAGCACCGGCUAACUCCGUGCCAGCAGCCGCGGUAAUUC
rnacentral:rRNA from 1 species